GCACGGGUGAGUAACACGUGACUAACCUACCCUGGAGUGGGGGAUAACUGAGGGAAACCUUAGCUAAUACCGCAUAACACCUACGGGUCAAAGGAGCAAUUCGCUUCAGGAGGGGGUCGCGGCCGAUUAGUUAGUUGGCGGGGUAAUGGCCCACCAAGACAGUGAUCGGUAUCCGGCCUGAGAGGGCGCACGGACACACUGGAACUGAAACACGGUCCAGACUCCUACGGGAGGCAGCAGUGGGGAAUUUUGCGCAAUGGGGGAAACCCUGACGCAGCAACGCCGCGUGGAGGAUGAAGUACUUCGGUACGUAAACUCCUUUCGAUCGGGACGAUAAUGACGGUACCGGAAGAAGAAGCCCCGGCUAACUUCGUGCCAGCAGCCGCGGUAAUACGAGGGGGGCAAGCGUUGUUCGGAAUUAUUGGGCGUAAAGGGUGCGUAGGCGGUUUGGUAAGUCUUUUGUGAAAUCUAUGGGCUCAACUCAUAGACUGCAAGGGAAACUGCCGGGCUUGAGUAUGGGAGAGGUGAGUGGAAUUUCCGGUGUAGCGGUGAAAUGCGUAGAUAUCGGAAGGAACACCUGUG
rnacentral:rRNA from 1 species